rfam:Babjeviella inositovora NRRL Y-12698 unplaced genomic scaffold BABINscaffold_5, whole genome shotgun sequence.
GGUCCCUUGGCCCAGUUGGUUAAGGCAUCGUGCUAAUAAUGCGGGGAUCAGCAGUUUGAUCCUGCUAGGGACCA